UACAGAGGGUGCAAGCGUUAAUCGGAAUUACUGGGCGUAAAGAGCACGUAGGUGGUUAUAUAAGUUGUCUGUGAAAGACCCGGGCUUAACCUGGGGGUGUCAGGCAAAACUGUGUGACUAGAGUACAGUAGAGGGAAGUGGAAUUUCAGGUGUAGCGGUGAAAUGCGUAGAUAUCUGAAGGAACACCAGUGGCGAAGGCGGCUUUCUGGACUGAUACUGACACUGAGGUGCGAAAGCGUGGGUAGCGAACAGG
rnacentral:rRNA from 1 species